rnacentral:rRNA from 1 species
UACGUAGGGGGCGAGCGUUGUCCGGAUUUAUUGGGCGUAAAGAGCUCGUAGGCGGUGUGUUACGUCGGCCGUGAAAACCUGCAGCUUAACUGUGGGCGUGCGGUCGAUACGGGCAUCACUGGAGUUCGGCAGGGGAGACUGGAAUUCCUGGUGUAGCGGUGAAAUGCGCAGAUAUCAGGAGGAACACCGGUGGCGAAGGCGGGUCUCUGGGCCGAUACUGACGCUGAGGAGCGAAAGCAUGGGGAGCGAACAGG